GGGUGUCGGACCAUCAAUGUUUAAGGGGGAGUCUCUUGGCCUUGGUGCAAUGUAUGAAACCAGAUCGAUCCGAAUACCUAGACCAUUUAAGAGGUUGGAGCAUUACCUACUGGAGGAUCAUAUAUCAUCACGGAAUUCAUUGAUUUGGUUUUUCUAGGGGUGAUCAGCUGUUUUAGGCAGGAAGCUAGCUGAAAUGCACAAAGCAGGGAAAUACAGUAAAGGUUUUGGUUUUGUGUUGAUAAUACCAUUGGCAGGUUACUUCGAUCAAUUUUAUUAGUUUUCCCUAGCACUAUUAAAAUCUCCAUCUGCAUUGUUUAUGGUUUUUAUCAGAAUUUUAUCCUCAUAAUUCUUCAUUAUGGUGUUAUGCUGAGCAAUUCAGGAUGAAAACUAAACUUGCACAUUGAUUCACUUCUAACUAAUUCAUUUAAAUUACCUUUAUAUUACUCCACAGAUAAACACAUGGAAAUCAGAUUGGAUUGUAUUUUAUGCAGAGCAUAGAUUGGGUUACCAUCUGAAGUUAGCAUCAGCCCAGUAUGGCAAUUCAACUAUUUGUCACAGAGGGCAGAGACUGAUGAAGAACUUUGCACCUCUUUUUGAAGACAUUGUCAUAGAGCCAUGCUUACUGCAUGGAGAAUUGUAAAGUGGGAAUAUCAGCUCUGACAAGAAUGGCAAACCUGUUAUUCUUGAUCAAGCCUGCUAGUAUGAGUCUGAAAUUAGCCUUCCUGCUUUAUAUUAAUUUCAAACCUAUUUGUUGAAAUGAUUAAUGCAGUGAAUUAAAGGAUUGCUUAACAGAACUGUAACAUCUAUUGGAAGAACAAACGAGACCUAUGCCAGCUAUUUUUUGACAAAACCCAGAAAUAUUCUGGAGAAAUCUGGUUGUGGAGAACAAAAUGUUGUGACAUUUGAAUGCUUUUUGCCACCAAUCGCAUAAAAUCUGACCUCUACAAGUUAAGAUUGAGAGUUUGUUCUUUGUUGAGUUGCAUUGUUCAUUGAACCACUAAAAGGUAUGAACUUGUGUAGAUUCAUAAUGCACAAAAUUCUCAUGUAUUUGCUGAUUAGCUUUCUCUAUAGAUGGACAUAAUGAAGCUGAAUUCGGAAUGUCAUGGUGUACUGGUUUUGGAGGAUCAUUUUUCAAAUCCUAUUUGAGCCGAUGCCCAGACAACCAGGCUUUGAGAAAAGGAGAGAUCUUUACAUGUAUCAAUUCUUGAAUCAUAACAAUCUUUUUGGAUUUGGUUUCUGUUCAUCUGCCCUGUCAAUAAUAGAUUAUUAUUUACGGAUGGUAAAAGUGUAGGCAUAGGUUAGACAGCAACAUCCUUAUGUAAA